AGUGAACGCUGGCGGUAGGCCUAACACAUGCAAGUCGAACGGCAGCACAGUAAGAGCUUGCUCUUACGGGUGGCGAGUGGCGGACGGGUGAGGAAUACAUCGGAAUCUACUUUUUCGUGGGGGAUAACGUAGGGAAACUUACGCUAAUACCGCAUACGACCUACGGGUGAAAGCAGGGGAUCUUCGGACCUUGCGCAAUUGAAUGAGCCGAUGUCGGAUUAGCUAGUUGGCGGGGUAAAGGCCCACCAAGGCGACGAUCCGUAGCUGGUCUGAGAGGAUGAUCAGCCACACGGGAACUGAGACACGGUCCAGACUCCUACGGGAGGCAGCAGUGGGGAAUAUUGGACAAUGGGCGCAAGCCUGAUCCAGCCAUACCGCGUGGGUGAAGAAGGCCUUCGGGUUGUAAAGCCCUUUUGUUGGGAAAGAAAAGCAGCAGGUUAAUACCCCGCUGUUCUGACGGUACCCAAAGAAUAAGCACCGGCUAACUUCGUG
rnacentral:rRNA from 1 species